rnacentral:lncRNA from 1 species
CGAGCAGCGGAACAACACAGUCCUUGAAGCCCAUCGAGACUCAAGUUGGCUGUGGGGGUGGAGGACAAAUGGGGAAUUAUCCUGAGGCUUCCCUGCCCUCUGCUUUGCCAAGGGUUCAUAGUGGACUUGCUGGGAGGCACAAGGGCAGGGGCUAGGAGAGUCCAGCUGUUACAAACCCAGGGGCUCCUCUGCCUAGAAACCCCUUUCUAACCAGGCCAGCACAACCAGCUGCAGACAAUAGUGGCAAAGCAGCCAGCAUCCCUGCUUGGGCACUCCUCACCAUGCAAGGGAGGGAGGAGCUGUGCUGGGGCAGGCCCUGCUCUCCACACCUGGGCAGGCAGGGCUGGGGAUAUUAAUAUGAGUUAUCUGAGUGUUUUCAUGCCAAAUGCUGUGCUCAGCACUGUGCUUAUCUUACAAAAAUUAACCCACGAGAUAGACGCAGCCAGUAUAGCAAGGCGGUGUCCAGGGUCGCAUGGCCAGUAAGUGCAGGGCCAGGAUGUGAUCCCAGCUCUGUCCAACUCGCAUGGGAGCUCUUCACCAAGACAGGACUUGCAGGACUCAGAAGAUGGACGCACUGUGUAACUGUGAGCCCACUGCUUCACCUCUCUGAGCUGCAGACCUGGAGUGCUCUCAUCGAGGCCCAAGCCAGGCAUGAGGGGGGUUGGAGUCACUUCCUGCUUCCCUUUCUGCCUCAGAGCAUGUGACACUGUGUGUGCUUGGGUACCCAUCAUGUCUGUGAGGCUGGGCAGUGACCUUGACACAACCACUGCACCCCCAGCUACUCCCUUCCCUGACAG